CACUCUUCUCGGCAAAGAUACAAUCUUCCUCUUCAUCAAUGGUACAGGACAACCACAGGCAAUGACAGAGCAAGUGCUCAGGGGCCCAGCUCAAAGCUGGCAACACACAAGGCACCUCAUGACUCCUGGAAUGAUCUCUGGGGCAGACAUCAGUCCAUCCUGGCCUUUCAGGCCCUGAAUGCCUGGAGGAGAGAAGACACACAUUCAUUUUAAGUAAUGUUUCCCGAAAGCCUGCAGUUUCAUAAGUACUGGACUAGGAGGGCCAACAGUAAUGAUAAGGCCACCCUGAGCCCUCACGUGUGGUCAUGGUCACAGGUGAGACACAGACAAGCCAGUGACCGCCUGCAGGAGCAGCUGACUACGCUGGGGAAUCAGGGAAGGAUCCCCCGGGAUGUUUGACCAAAAAACCUGAAGACUGCAGGUCACAGGGCCAAUGGACAGCAGAACCUUGACACCAGAGGCAAGAACACAAGAAGGGUGUGGUAUAAAGAAAUGAGUAAGGCAAGGGUUCUUAAUCGGGGUCCACUGACCUACUAAACACCUAGGAACUCUUAGAAAUCAACUGCACAAUUUUGCAAGUGUUAGGUUACACACGGUCUUCUCCUGCCUGGCACAUCCCUUCCUUCCUUUCCUGAUAACAGCACCCACCCCUUUGAAGGGCAGUCCUUCAGGGUUCCAAUGGGCUUCUAAGUCAGAGAACCCCUACUGAUUAGACAGGCGACAAAGGCCUGGCCAAUCAUGGUAUCCGACUCCUCCUGCAACCUUUGAUUGGUGCAAGAAGUGGACACGUGACCUGUGGAGAUCCAAUCACGGCCUUUGUCUGGAAUUUACACUAGGUUGCCAGGAGACACAAGCCCUCUUAAUCUAUUGUGGUCACACAAGGAUGACUUAAGCCUGGGGCUGCCUGUUGUAGCUCUUGAACAUGAUGGUCUUUCUUAGAAAUCCAUCCUAGAGAAGAGCCUGCACGGGGACAAUGAAGUCACUGACCAACUGCAAAGGAGGAAAGUGGAAGAGAGAGGAAGAAGUUUGGCUUGUUCCCUCCACCCCUCACUUCUCAGGGCCCGGCGGCAGGCAGCUGGCAGCGACCUGCACAGGUGAGUCCUCCCGAAAUACAGGAAGAGCACGGGAUUGAGACAGCUGUGAGCCAGAGCGAGGCCGAUGACCAGGGGUUCAGCCCGCAGGGCCCGGGCCAGGAGCCUGGAGUGCGGGGCGGCCACGGUGAUCACCAGCCCCAGCAGUUGGUAGGGGGCCCAGCAGACAAAAAAGCCCAGCACGACGGCCACGCCCAGGGGCCAGCGGUGCGGGGCGGCCCGGCACAGCAGGGCACCGUGGCAGCUGGCCACGACCACCAGCGGCCCCAGGAAGCCGCACACAAAGCGGGCGGCCGCCACGGCGCUCUCAACCACGGCCGAGCCCCCGUAGUCCACCACGCACUCCAGCCGGGGGGGGAAGUGCUCCUGGUGCAGCCGGUGGUACAUGGCCGAGGGUACAGUGAGCAGCAAGGCCACGGCCCAGGCCACCGCGCAGGCGACCUGCACCCUGCGUGCCCGGCCCCCCGCAGCCCCCCAGCCCGGCCUGAGCGCCAGCAGGCAGAGGUCGGCGCUGAGAGCGGCCAGGAGGAGCACGCUGGCGUACAUGGACAGCAGGAUGAGCGAGGACAGGGUGUGACAGCCCAGUGCCCCGUACGGCCAGUGGCCCCCGCGCGCCAUGGGCACCGCCAGCACCGGCAGAGACAAACAGCACAGCAGAUCCGCCACGGCCAGGUGGAGGAACCAGGUGGCACCCACCCUCCGGCGGGCCUCUUUCCAGGUCACCCAGGCCAUCGUGGCAUUGCCGGGCACGCCCACCAGGAAGACCACAGCAUACAGCAGGAACGGGGCGACGCUCAGCGGGUCCGUGGAGACGCAGGAGCCGUCCACGCAGUCCACGGGGAGAUCCGGGAUCUCGUCGUAGUGCCCAUAAUCGUAGCUGACAGACGUGUUCUCCAUCCAGGCCCCAGGCUCCUGAACAGGAGAGAAAGCAGUGGAAGCUGGUCGAGGAAGCCCUCAGGCCCCUGCAAUCCUCAGGGGGUGGGGACCCCACCGGCGGCUUGGAAACGACUGUGACGGUGUCAGAGCUCCGGUGCAUUCUAAUACUGGAAUUCUAGAAGCCCCCAACCUUAGAACUAGCUCGGUAGCAUCUUGGGAUUAGCCAAUAACACAAUGUUGGAACCCGAGCAGGCUACUAUACUGGAAUUCUAGGAUGCCGGGGGUUAGCACACUAGCCCUAGGUGAGCAUCCAGGAAUUCUAGAAUAUGACAGUGUUAGAACUCAAGCUUACUAGCAUCUUGGGAUUCUGGAACAUUACAAUGUUAGACUGUGAUCGUGAUUUAAAAAAAAAAAAUUUUUUUUUUUUUUUUUGGAAACUCCAAAUGGCAUACCAUUAGAACUGCAGCCAAUUAUUUAUUUAUUUUUAAAGAUUUUAUUUAUUUAUUCAUGAGAGACACAGAGAGAGAGAGAGGCAGAGACACAGGCAGAGGGAGAAGCAGGCUCCAUUUAGGGAGCCCGAAGUGGGACUCCAUCCUGGGACUCCAGGAUCACGCCCUGGGCCAAAGGCAGGCACUAAACCGCUGAGCCACCCAGGGAUCCCCCAACUGCAGCCAAUUAUUAUUUGGAAUUCUAGAGCAGCUCUGUGGGAUCCAAUAUUCAGUGUUGAUGGAAACAUUCUUUUCAAAAAAAAAAAAAAAGAUUAUUUAUUUAUUUAUUUAUUUAUGAGAGAGAGAGUGCGCACAAGCAGAGGAAAGCUGCAGAAGGAGAGGGAGAAGCAGGCUCCCCACUAAGCAGGGAGCCCGAGGCAAGGCUCGAUUCCAGGACCCUGAGAUCAUGACCUGAGCCAAAGGCAAAUACCCAACCAACUGAGCCACCCAGGUACCCCUGGUGGGAAUGUUCUAGAUCUGAGCCAUCCAAUCUGUAACUACCUGCAGGCCAAAAGGUGCUACUGAGCAUUUGAAAUGGGACUAAAUUUUUAGACUAAUUUUUGAGACUAAAAAUCUUCUGAUUUUACUUAAAUAUAAAUAGCUACACAUGGCUAAUGGCUACCUCAUUGGACAGGGAGAUUCUAGAGCACUUAAAUGUAACACUAGCCUGUUAGCAACGUGGAAUUCUAGAAUUUAAAACAUUGGAAUCCAAAUAUCCAUUAAGAGGGGGAAAGGUUAAUACGCAUUCACAGCAAAAGUACUUGUCUUGGUUCUUCUUCACUGGUAUUUUUGUAUCUCGGUAGAAUGAAAAUGUACCUCGGGAGAAAUUGUGUUAUUUUGUUUUUUGCAUAAACUAGAGCACACACACAGACAGCAAGGUACCGCACAUCACGUAGGUCCAGCUCACUGGGUUUCACAACCUGAACGCAGCCGUUUAAGAGGCACCCAGAUCGAGAGACAGAACAUACCUAGAAUCCUACUAGAGCAAUUUUUUAAAGUCUUGAUGGUGUUUGGAAAACAGGAAAAAUAAAAUGUUGAAUUCCCCGGUCAGGAGAUCCAUUCAUUCAUUCAAGAAAAGUCCUGAGUCCCUUUUCUCUUCCAGGCACUGCAUGCCUAGUGGGGGACGUGACAAACCAAAACCUCUUUUGUCUCAGAGCUGACACUCUAGCGGGAGGAGUCAGAUAAGGAAAAAGACAAAUUAGAAAUAAAUAAGCAAAAUACAGUGUCUUAGAAGGUGAAAAAUGCUACAGAAAAAAAAAAAAAGGAUCACACAG